UACGUAGGGGGCAAGCGUUGUCCGGAUUUAUUGGGCGUAAAGAGCGUGUAGGCGGCUUUACAGGUCCGUUGUGAAAACUCGAGGCUCAACCUCGAGACGCCGGUGGAAACCGUAAGGCUAGAGUCCGGAAGAGGAGAGUGGAAUUCCUGGUGUAGCGGUGAAAUGCGCAGAUAUCGGGAAGAACACCCGUGGCGAAGGCGGUUCUCUGGGACGGUACUGACGCUGAGACGCGAAAGCGUGGGGAGCGAACAGG
rnacentral:rRNA from 1 species